ensembl:processed_transcript
GGGACACUGUAAGGCACUUUCCCCGGUGUCUAAGAGCAACCGCUGCAAGUGCACAGCCGAGUCCCUGAAACUGGGACCCGUGGGCUCCCGCGUUCGGGCUCAGACCCCAAGGUAUUUACUGAAGUCUUGAUAUGGAAGAGGCAAGACGCCAAGGCCUGCCGAGAGAGGUAUAUAUAAAACAGAGUUUACAUGUUGAAGAAGAUCAGGUUUGCUCUGCUGAGAUCUUGUGUGAAGCAAAUACUUAGUGAACUUUUGCAGGUCAACUCCAAGCUCAUCUGGCCAGAUAGUACCCCACCACUCUAUGUUGGAGAAAGUCUUGCCUCAGCAUCUGAGUUAGUCUCAGCUGACAUCAUUCUGCCAAUUAGUUGGAGUCCAAGGAAGACAAGAAGCCACCAGCAUACCACCAGAAGUUUUUGGUUCAUCUCUCUGUAGAGUCCUGACAAAUGGAGUUCAACUAUGCAAUGUGGACCAAUACAUGCAUCUCCAUAGGGAAGAAUCCUUUAUCAUGUGUCCUUUCACAUGCUUGCUUUAGGAGAAAAUCCUUUAACCUUGUGUCUGCUUCAGUGAAACUUUCCUUCACAUGCCUGCUUUAGUAAAAUAUUCUUUCACUUGUGUCUGCUUCAGGAAAAUACUCUUUCACAUGUUUGCCCCAGCAAAACUCCAUCUGACACAUCUGACUUUCCAAAGAACCCUUAAGUGUCCACUGUACUUUAUUUUUUUUAAUUGAAAGAAAAUUGUGAUAAAGUUUAAUAUCUGUUCAAGGGAACAAGUUUUCAGAAUCCUUUUUAUUUUUAUAGAUGUAUCCAAAAUAC